rnacentral:rRNA from 1 species
UACAGAGGGUGCGAGCGUUAAUCGGAAUUAUUGGGCGUAAAGGGAGCGUAGGCGGAUGUGCAAGUGGUAUGUGAAAUACCCGGGCUUAACCUGGGGAGGUCAUAUCAGACUGCACGUCUAGAGUGAGGUAGAGGAAGGUGGAAUUCCUGGUGUAGCGGUGAAAUGCGUAGAUAUCAGGAAGAACAUCGAUGGCGAAGGCAGCCUUCUGGGCCUUUACUGACGCUGAGGCUCGAAAGCGUGGGGAGCGAACAGG